rnacentral:rRNA from 1 species
GACGAACGCUGGCGGCGUGCUUAACACAUGCAAGUCGAGCGGUAAGGCCCUUUCGGGGGUACACGAGCGGCGAACGGGUGAGUAACACGUGGGUGACCUGCCCUCAGCUCUGGGAUAAGCCCGGGAAACUGGGUCUAAUACCGGAUAUCACCUUGGGAGGCAUCUUCCGGGGUUGGUAAAGUUUUUAGGUCGGCUGAGGAGUGGGCCCGCCGGCCUAUCAGUUUGUUGGUGGGGUAGGUGGCC